rnacentral:rRNA from 1 species
UACGUAGGGGGCAAGCGUUGUCCGGAAUUAUUGGGCGUAAAGCGCGCGCAGGCGGUCAUUUAAGUCUGGUGUUUAAUCCCGGGGCUCAACCCCGGAUCGCACUGGAAACUGGGUGACUUGAGUGCAGAAGAGGAGAGUGGAAUUCCACGUGUAGCGGUGAAAUGCGUAGAUAUGUGGAGGAACACCAGUGGCGAAGGCGACUCUCUGGGCUGUAACUGACGCUGAGGCGCGAAAGCGUGGGGAGCGAACAGG